GACGUAGGGCGCGAGCGUUGUCCGGAUUUAUUGGGCGUAAAGAGCUCGUAGGCGGUGUGUCACGUCGUUCGUGAAAACCUGCAGCUUAACUGUGGGCGUGCGGUCGAUACGGGCAUCACUGGAGUUCGGCAGGGGAGACUGGAAUUCCUGGUGUAGCGGUGAAAUGCGCAGAUAUCGGGAGGAACACCAAUGGCGAAGGCGGCUCUCUGGGCCCUACCUGACGCUGAGACGCGAAAGCGUGGGGAGCGAACCGG
rnacentral:rRNA from 1 species